AAUUUUAAAAAAAAGAAAAAAAACGAAAUGGAGACAGGAACUCGUCUUCCUCUCUUCUCCCCCACCUCACGAGCUCAACCUUCCCCAACAAUGGCCUUCUACCCCAGCAUCUCUAAAUCGAGAUCUUUCUCUGCUCUUAGUCGUCACCUCCCUUCGCUUAACCUCACUCGCUUCUCAUAAUCUCUCAUUCGCUUUCAAGCGCUACCCUCGAACUUUCUCACGCUCUCUACAAACUCUCUCAAGCGAAGAUUUCUCCCUGCUCUCAGAAUCACUAUCCCUCAAACUUACCCAAACGUCUCUCAAAUGUACUCAAACGAACCCUUUUUAAUCACUCUCAGCUCUCACAAAAAAAUCAAACAACAAGCAUAAAGAGAGAGGAAGAGAGGUCCUUACAGAGUGUCACUGCAGUGGUGGUGAAGGAUGCGAAGAAACUGGCCUCCAGGGUUUCAAAGGUGCCUUUGGUAAUCCAGAAGAGUAACUCUGCAAAGCACUUUUGAUGUUCAGAAACUGGAUUGACCCCUAUGGUGUAUGGAUUUGAGACAGUGAAUUUCGGUUACAAGUGGAGCGAAAAUCAGUUACAAGUGGAGUGGAUGGUCCCAAUCAAGUUUGUUCAUUGACAGAUCCCUCUGGAUUUGGUCUUCGGUGACUUGUGGGUCGAAUAUGCUGAGGUUGGCUCAUGGUUCACAGCUUGGUAGGUGAAUCCUUGCAUUGCAGAAUGAUUUGGGGACCUGCUCCAAUGCCAUUCAGACUUAGUUUUACAGGGCGUGUGAGGUUUGCAUUUGGCCUUGUGUUGGUUCUACAAUGUUGCUGCAGUAACCUUUGCUCAUGUUCUUGUUUUGAAGUAGAACCGUUGGAGUUGGCUCUGGCUUUGAUGUAUAUUUUUAAAGCAAGAUCGUUGUCCACAAUCUUCACAAGAUCUCCAAGCUCCUCACUGCACUCAAACUUGUCCUC